AUUGGUUUUUCCAUUGUACCACGUGAAUGCAGGGUGUUAGUAACAGGAGAAAUGUGAGAGACAGGAGGAUGCAUGGGCACCCUCUGUACUAUCUUCUCAAUUUUCUAUAAAGCUAAAACUGCUCAAAGAAAUAGAGUCUAUUGAUAAAUAAGUAAGUUUUCCUGGAAGCUGCUGCAAUCCCAAGGUCCCCAAACAGCUUCCACCUACUGUCACUCUCUACAGCAACGAGCAUCUCCACGAGCUCGCAGGAGGAUCUCUGUGCCGUCUACACACGCGCCCGGCUUCAGCCAUCACCGGAAAGGAGGGCCUCUGCUUAAUCUUCCAAGUUCUACUGUCUGCUUCUGGCUUCCAAAGUUCCUGUCUGAGAAGACAGCCGUCAUUCUGGGGGUUCCUGUUUGAGAAGACAGUCAUCAUCCUCGGGGUUCCUGUUUGAGAAGACAGCUGUCAUCCUCGGGGUUCCUGUUUGAGGAGACAGCCAUCAUUCUGGGGGUUCCUGUUUGAGGAGACAGCCGUCAUCCUCAGGGUUCCUGUUUGAGGAGACAGCCAUCAUUCUGGGGGUGCCUGUUUGAGAAGACAGCCGUCAUUUUCAUGGUUCCUAUUUGAGGAGACAGCCGUCAUCCUUGGGGUUCCUGUUUGAGGAGACAGCUGUCAUUCUCUUGGUUCCUAUUAGAGGAGACAGCUGUCAUUCUCGUGGUUCCUGUUUGAGGAGACAGCCGUCAUCCUUGGGGUUCCUGUUUAAGGAGACAGCUGUCGUUCUCGGGGUUCCUGUUUGAGGAGACAGCCGUCGUUCUCAGGGUUCCUGUUUGAGGAGACAGCCGUCAUUCUCUUGGUUCCUAUUAGAGGAGACAGCUGUCAUUCUCGUGGUUCCUGUUUGAGGAGACAGCCGUCGUUCUCAGGGUUCCUGUUUGAGAAGACAGCCGUCAUCCUUGGGGUUCCUGUUUGAGGAGACAGCCGUCAUCCCUGGGGUUCCUGUUUAAGGAGACAGCCGUCGUUCUCAGGGUUCCUGUUUAAGGAGACAGCCGUCGUUCUCGGGGUUCCCUAGUGCUAAGGUGUUUUUUUCUCCUGGCUACAUCUAACAGUUUUCUCUUUUCCUUUAGUUUCAGCAGUUUGACUACGAUGUGACUAAGUAUGGCUUUCUUCAGCUUUAUACUUCAUGGAGUUCAAUAAG
rnacentral:lncRNA from 1 species